rnacentral:rRNA from 1 species
UACGGAGGGUGCGAGCGUUGUCCGGAAUUAUUGGGCGUAAAGGGUGCGUAGGCGGUUCCGCAAGUCCUGUGUGAAAUCUUCGGGCUCAACUCGAAGUCUGCACGGGAAACUGCGGGGCUUGAAUCUGGCAGAGGGGGGUAGAAUUCCACGUGUAGCAGUGAAAUGCGUAGAGAUGUGGAGGAAUACCGAUGGCGAAGGCAGCCUCCUGGGCCAACACUGACGCUCAUGCACGAAAGCGUGGGGAGCAAACAGG